rnacentral:rRNA from 1 species
CCUACGGGGGGCAGCAGUGGGGAAUUUUGGACAAUGGGCGCAAGCCUGAUCCAGCCAUGCCGCGUGAGUGAAGAAGGCCUUCGGGUUGUAAAGCUCUUUCGGCGGGGACGAAACGGUUCGUGACAACACCACGGACUAAUGACGGUACUCGCAGAAGAAGCACCGGCUAACUACGUGCCAGCAGCCGCGGUAAUACGUAGGGUGCGGGCGUUAAUCGGAAUUACUGGGCGUAAAGCGUGCGCAGGCGGCUCCUUAAGUCAGAUGUGAAAUCCCCGGGCUUAACCUGGGAACUGCGUUUGAAACUGGGGAGCUGGAGUGUGGAAGAGGGGGGUGGAAUUCCAGGUGUAGCAGUGAAAUGCGUAGAGAUCUGGAGGAACACCGAUGGCGAAGGCAGCCCCCUGGGCUAACACUGACGCUCAUGCACGAAAGCGUGGGGAGCAAACAGGAUUAGAUACCCCAGUAGUC